CUUCCAUUAAUCUAUUUAGAUUCUUUGUAAUUUCAAUACUCAAAUAUGUGAAAUUAUGUUUUUAUUUGUUUUUUUAGUUCUUGAUCUAUAGGGAAAGAAUAAUCAAUUUUUCUACAUUUAUUUUGUAUUUUGAAACUUUACUGUAUGCUUGAAUAUCUUUCAUAAAAUAUGGUAGACUGCCUUGGAUUAGUCAUUGUCAAGAGGACAUCAUCAGCA